AAUCAAGCGUUUAAGAGCAUUUGAUGGAUGCCUUGGCAUACACAGGCGAUGAAGGACGUAGUACGUUGCGAUAAGCUUCGGGGAGUGACGAACACACUUUGAUCCGGAGAUUUCCGAAUGGGGCAACCCAACUCUUCUGAGUUAUUGCUAACUGAAUACAUAGGUUAGUAAAGCGAACCCGGCGAACUGAAACAUCUAAGUAGCCGGAGGAAAGGAUAUCAAACGAUACUCCGUGAGUAGUGGCGAGCGAAAGCGGAUCAGGCCAAUGGUUAAAAUUGUACAACCAGAAUUACCUGGAAAGGUAAACCAUAGAGAGUGAUAGUCUCGUAUGGGUAAUGACAGUUUUGAUCUUCGAGUAAGACGGGACACGUGAAAUCUUGUCUGAAUAUGGGGGGACCACCCUCCAAGCCUAAGUACUCGUGUAUGACCGAUAGUGAACUAGUACCGUGAGGGAAAGGUGAAAAGAACCCCGACGAGGGGAGUGAAAUAGAUCCUGAAAUUGAAUGCUUACAAGCUGUCGAAGCCCGCAAGGGUGACGGCGUACCUUUUGUAUAAUGGGUCAGCGAGUUAGUUUAAAGUGCAAGCUUAAGCCGUAAGGUGUAGGCGUAGCGAAAGCGAGUCUGAAUAGGGCAAUAGUACUUUGGAUUAAACCCGAAACCGAGUGAUCUAGCCAUGAGCAGGUUGAAGAUAAGGUAACACUUAUUGGAGGACCGAACCAGUUGACGUUGAAAAGUCUUUGGAUGACUUGUGGUUAGGGGUGAAAGGCCAAUCAAACUCGGAUAUAGCUGGUUCUCCGCGAAAACUAUUUAGGUAGUGCGUCAUACGAAUUCCAUCGGGGGUAAAGCACUGGAUGGGCAAGGGGGGAGAGAUCCUUACUAAGUCCAACCAAACUCUGAAUACCGAUGAGAAAUAUAUGGCAGACAGACUAUGGGUGCUAAGGUCCAUAGUCGAAAGGAAAACAGUCCAGACCAACAGCUAAGGUCCCCAAGUUAUUGUUAAGUGGGAAAGGAUGUCGGACGACCAAAACAGCCAGGAGGUUGGCUUAGAAGCAGCCAUCCUUUAAAGAAAGCGUAACAGCUCACUGGUCUAAUUAAGUUGUCCGGCGCCGAAGAUGUAACGGGGCUAAACAAUACACCGAAGCUUUGGACACAAUUUAUUGUGUGGUAGCGGAGCGUUCCGUACGUUGUUGAAGGGAGACUCGUGAGAGCUCCUGGAGAUAUCGGAAGUGAGAAUGCUGACAUGAGUAGCGACAAAAAGAGUGAGAAACUCUUUCGCCGAAAAUCCAAGGGUUCCUGCGCAAGGCUAAUCCGCGCAGGUUGAGUCGGCUCCUAAGACGAGGACGAAAGUCGUAGUCGAUGGGAAACAGGUUAAUAUUCCUGUACCGGAUGAGAUGUGACGGAUGACGUAAAUUGUAUCUCCUUAUAAGGAUUGGAUAUGCAGUGAAGUUGUUCCAGGAAAUAGCCUCAUCAUUGAGACCGUACCCGAAACCGACACAGGUGGAUAGGUAGAAGAUACCAAGGCGCUUGAGAGAACUAUGCUGAAGGAACUCGGCAAAAUACCUCUGUAACUUCGGGAGAAGGAGGACCUAUGUUUGGGCAACCAGAUGUAGGUGGCACAGAAAUGGGGGUAGCAACUGUUUAUUAAAAACACAGGACUCUGCAAAGCCGUAAGGCGAAGUAUAGGGUCUGACGCCUGCCCGGUGCCGGAAGAUUAAAGUGAGUGGUGCAAGCUACAAACUGAAGUCCCGGUGAACGGCGGCCGUAACUAUAACGGUCCUAAGGUAGCGAAAUUCCUUGUCGGGUAAGUUCCGACCUGCACGAAUGGCGUAAUGAUUUCCCCGCUGUCUCCAGCAUAGACUCAGCGAAAUUGAAUUCUCCGUGAAGAUGCGGAGUACCCGCGGUUAGACGGAAAGACCCCGUGCACCUUUACUAUAGCUUUACAUUGGUGUUAGAAAUUGCAUGUGUAGGAUAGGUGGUA
rnacentral:rRNA from 1 species